UCGCCCAUCGCUGUCCGUGACUGAGCUGUCUCGAGAGGGCUGCGGACUACUGCAUUGAGGCUUUUGGGUCGCGAUAUGGCGGGAAAGAGUUCAAUCGCAAUGGCCUGAACCGGGUAAAAGUCGUAACAAGGUAUCUGUAGGCGAACCUGCAGAUG
rnacentral:ncRNA from 1 species